GAGCUGCAGUUAGAAGCUGGUCAGUCUUCUGGGUUAUCUACACRGAUCAUUAGUAGAUACUUAUCAAGGACUAGAAUUCGAACAUGAGGAAUACGAUAGGAAAUGACUGACAUGGAAUUUGUACUCUAAUUUGUGUUUUUUUUUUACCGUUGAUUAAUAGGUGUAUACAGAACGGAACAGAGUUAAAACAAAUAUUUUUCGAAAGCAGAGAAAAUGCACGAUGUCCGCAAGGACCGUUUCUCUACUAAGUCGAAAGAACACGGUGGUGUCAACGCAGGACCAUUUCUAACUCUCUCUUAUGGCCAAGGUAUCUAGAGUCAAGUCUCCUAGAAUGGCUACUCUAGCAAUGGAAGUGCUAGCAGAGAACCGGGAAGAGGCCAAAGACUUGGUGUAUU